UAAUACGGAGGGUGCAAGCGUUAAUCGGAAUUACUGGGCGUAAAGCGCGCGUAGGCGGUUUAGUCAGUCAGAUGUGAAAGCCCCGGGCUCAACCUGGGAACUGCAUUUGAUACUGCUAAGCUAGAGUAUGGUAGAGGCAAGUGGAAUUCCAGGUGUAGCAGUGAAAUGCGUAGAUAUCUGGAGGAACAUCAGUGGCGAAGGCGACUUGCUGGACCAAUACUGACGCUGAGGUGCGAAAGCGUGGAUAGCAAACAGGAUUAGAUACCCUGGUAGUCCACGCUGUAAACGAUGUCAACUAGCCGUUGGGACCAUUUAAGGUUUUAGUGGCGCAGCUAACGCGAUAAGUUGACCGCCUGGGGAGUACGGCCGCAAGGUUA
rnacentral:rRNA from 1 species